GUAUGAUAUUUUGCUUCAACAUCCCUCUUAGCUUCUCACACAACUGGGGCAGUGGGGGAGAACCCUGGGCUUGAGACUUGCAAUCCACCACUUGCCCCUGCCCCUGCCCCUGCAGUGUGGCCGCUGUUACCUUUUCCUGCAACUCUGCCUUCUUGAGUCCAAAUGUCUUCGAAAGGGGCAAAUGCUCGUAAGUGCCGACAGGGUGUGUUUCAGUGAAUGUUUGCAGUGUGCACCGGUCUGGCUGAAGGCCUCUUCCCUUCCCCAACACCCUCC
rnacentral:lncRNA from 1 species